UUAACAACAAGGUUACAUACUUGGUUUAGUAGUUUUGGGGGGAAUUAGGGGUUGAACCUUAAAUGCUUUACCGGCAUCAACUCGCUGCUAGAUUUUGGUUAGGACUGGUUCGCGAGCGAGGCCUUACCUCCAAAUUAGCCUGGUUAAUCCCCACUUUAUACCGUCAGUGCAAAGCAUGCCAUUUCGUCACGAUUACCCAAUGAACCAAUGAGAGGGUUUGCCCUUGGA